rnacentral:lncRNA from 1 species
CUGGGUAGUCCAUAGAUGGCUGUCUUCACACGGAAGAGACCGAGAACUUGUUCCUAUUCGCUUCAUGAAGCUGGAUAAGUCAGCAGUCAACCUGGAGAGAUGCUGGUCUUCAGUCCACAUUGGAAGACACACAAAGAUUGGAUGACAAAAAGGGCCAUUUCAGCAUGGAAUGAAAUUUCUGAAGCUAUGAACCACAAUGAGGAGCCAAAGAGGGAAGAAGUUAAAUGGCUUAUUUAAAACACGUCACAGACUAACGGCAAUUCUCGGCUCAUGUUUGGAAAUGCAUUCCUGCCUUGAUCUAUGGCUAGUACAGUCACCAGUGUCUAGGCCUGAGAGGGAACAGAGAAUUCCUACUGAAUCCUGCCUUUGGGUAUGGGCUCCUUUAUUUUAGGAUGAAAACCAUCAGUUUGUUGAUGGAUUCCACAAGACAGGGAUAAUGAAAAGUCAUCAGAAGCAAGAUGUGAGAGAGCUGGGGACCCAGGAGAGAGGAGCAGUUUGGAUCGAUGGUGAGCCUGAGGAGUGUUUUUCCCAGUCUACAUUGGUGGGAGAUGGGCUUUUUUUUAUGUAAAUAGUGAAACUUAAUCAGGAGAAUAUGAAUCCACUCAGGCAACUGGUGAUUUUUAUGGAAAAGGGUAUGAAUUACAAGCUGGGAAAGAUGGGUCAUGAUGAAC